GUAUGGCCCUCACAGACUCAUAUCGUUGAACAAGUCUAUAGAGUCCAGGGAGUGGAAUAUGGGAAUUUGAAUAUUCUUGACUCAAGGACUGGCAAUAUUUGGAGGUGUGGCCUAGAGGGAGGAAAUGUGUCACUGUUUGUGCGGACUUUCAGACCCUCAUCCUAUCUGCCCAGAGACCAGUCUUACCUGCCUGUCAGCCUUCAGAAGAAGAUGUAGACCUCUCAGCUUCUCCUGCACCUUGCUUGCCCGGAAGCUGCCAUGCUUCUACUCUGAUGAUAGUGGACUGAACAAGUGUAAACAAGCCCCAAAUAAAUAUUUACC
rnacentral:lncRNA from 1 species